UACGAAGGGGGCUAGCGUUGCUCGGAAUCACUGGGCGUAAAGCGCACGUAGGCGGCUUUCUAAGUCAGGGGUGAAAUCCUGGAGCUCAACUCCAGAACUGCCUUUGAUACUGGGAAGCUUGAGUCCGGAAGAGGUGAGUGGAACUGCGAGUGUAGAGGUGAAAUUCGUAGAUAUUCGCAAGAACACCAGUGGCGAAGGCGGCUCACUGGCCCGAUACUGACGCUGAGGCACGAAAGCGUGGGGAGCAAACAGG
rnacentral:rRNA from 1 species